GAUGAAGAACGUAGCGAAGUGCGAUAAGUAGUGUGAAUUGCAGAAUUUCGUGAAUCAUCGAAUCUUUGAACGCAAAUUGCACUCUCCGGUUUUCCGGGAGAGUAUGCCUGUUUGAGGGUCAGCCUAAAUAAAUUCGGCUUUGUUGCUGUGUUUCGCGGUAACGUUUUAGUCGGAAUUUGGGUCAUCUUAAACCGAAAAGGUCUUAAGCGACUUAAAAAUUUUUUUUUACGAUCCCACGAACGUUUCUAAGAUCUUCUUACACGUUCAAGGUGUCGAACACCCUACUAGUCGUGACCGUCGUAUCGGAUCGCGUCCAUAAUAUUUAUUCUUUAACUGACCUCAGACAGGUAAGAGUACCCGCUGAACUUAAGCAUAUCAAUAAGCGGAGGA
rnacentral:misc_RNA from 1 species